rnacentral:tRNA from 1 species
CAAAAAAUAGUUUAAUUAAAACAAUAAUUUUGGGGAUUAUAAAUAUUUAUAUAAAUAUUUUUUUUUGA